UUUGACCCGGCCCGCCCCCCUGGCCGGGUCCGCACGGCUCCUGCCUCCCACCCGGCAGGGGCCGUGUUCU
rfam:Jiangella alkaliphila strain DSM 45079 genome assembly, chromosome: I